rnacentral:rRNA from 1 species
CCCAGUGUGAUUCGUCACACUAUCAUUAACUGAAUCCAUAGGUUAAUGAGGCGAACCGGGGGAACUGAAACAUCUAAGUACCCCGAGGAAAAGAAAUCAACCGAGAUUCCCCCAGUAGCGGCGAGCGAACGGGGAGCAGCCCAGAGCCUGAAUCAGUGUGUGUGUUAGUGGAAGCGUCUGGAAAGGCGUGCGAUACAGGGUGACAGCCCCGUACACAAAAAUGCACAUACUGUGAGCUCGAUGAGUAGGGCGGGACACGUGGUAUCCUGUCUGAAUAUGGGGGGACCAUCCUCCAAGGCUAAAUACUCCUGACUGACCGAUAGUGAACCAGUACCGUGAGGGAAAGGCGAAAAGAACCCCGGCGAGGGGAGUGAAAAAGAACCUGAAACCGUGUACGUACAAGCAGUGGGAGCACGCUUAGGCGUGUGACUGCGUACCUUUUGUAUAAUGGGUCAGCGACUUAUAUUCUGUAGCAAGGUUAACCGAAUAGGGGAGCCGAAGGGAAACCGAGUCUUAACUGGGCGUUAAGUUGCAGGGUAUAGACCCGAAACCCGGUGAUCUAGCCAUGGGCAGGUUGAAGGUUGGGUAACACUAACUGGAGGACCGAACCGACUAAUGUUGAAAAAUUAGCGGAUGACUUGUGGCUGGGGGUGAAAGGCCAAUCAAACCGGGAGAUAGCUGGUUCUCCCCGAAAGCUAUUUAGGUAGCGCCUCGUGAAUUCAUCUCCGGGGGUAGAGCACUGUUUCGGCAAGGGGGUCAUCCCGACUUACCAACCCGAUGCAAACUGCGAAUACCGGAGAAUGUUAUCACGGGAGACACACGGCGGGUGCUAACGUCCGUCGUGAAGAGGGAAACAACCCAGACCGCCAGCUAAGGUCCCAAAGUCAUGGUUAAGUGGGAAACGAUGUGGGAAGGCCCAGACAGCCAGGAUGUUGGCUUAGAAGCAGCCAUCAUUUAAAGAAAGCGUAAUAGCUCACUGGUCGAGUCGGCCUGCGCGGAAGAUGUAACGGGGCUAAACCAUGCACCGAAGCUGCGGCAGCGACGCUUAUGCGUUGUUGGGUAGGGGAGCGUUCUGUAAGCCUGUGAAGGUGUACUGUGAGGUAUGCUGGAGGUAUCAGAAGUGCGAAUGCUGACAUAAGUAACGAUAAAGCGGGUGAAAAGCCCGCUCGCCGGAAGACCAAGGGUUCCUGUCCAACGUUAAUCGGGGCAGGGUGAGUCGACCCCUAAGGCGAGGCCGAAAGGCGUAGUCGAUGGGAAACAGGUUAAUAUUCCUGUACUUGGUGUUACUGCGAAGGGGGGACGGAGAAGGCUAUGUUGGCCGGGCGACGGUUGUCCCGGUUUAAGCGUGUAGGCUGGUUUUCCAGGCAAAUCCGGAAAAUCAAGGCCGAGGCGUGAUGACGAGGCACUACGGUGCUGAAGCAACAAAUGCCCUGCUUCCAGGAAAAGCCUCUAAGCAUCAGGUAACAUCAAAUCGUACCCCAAACCGACACAGGUGGUCAGGUAGAGAAUACCAAGGCGCUUGAGAGAACUCGGGUGAAGGAACUAGGCAAAAUGGUGCCGUAACUUCGGGAGAAGGCACGCUGAUACGUAGGUGAAGCGACUUGCUCGUGGAGCUGAAAUCAGUCGAAGAUACCAGCUGGCUGCAACUGUUUAUUAAAAACACAGCACUGUGCAAACACGAAAGUGGACGUAUACGGUGUGACGCCUGCCCGGUGCCGGAAGGUUAAUUGAUGGGGUUAGCGCAAGCGAAGCUCUUGAUCGAAGCCCCGGUAAACGGCGGCCGUAACUAUAACGGUCCUAAGGUAGCGAAAUUCCUUGUCGGGUAAGUUCCGACCUGCACGAAUGGCGUAAUGAUGGCCAGGCUGUCUCCACCCGAGACUCAGUGAAAUUGAACUCGCUGUGAAGAUGCAGUGUACCCGCGGCAAGACGGAAAGACCCCGUGAACCUUUACUAUAGCUUGACACUGAACAUUGAGCCUUGAUGUGUAGGAUAGGUGGGAGGCUUUGAAGUGUGGACGCCAGUCUGCAUGGAGCCGACCUUGAAAUACCACCCUUUAAUGUUUGAUGUUCUAACGUGGACCCGUGAUCCGGGUUGCGGACAGUGUCUGGUGGGUAGUUUGACUGGGGCGGUCUCCUCCUAAAGAGUAACGGAGGAGCACGAAGGUUGGCUAAUCCUGGUCGGACAUCAGGAGGUUAGUGCAAUGGCAUAAGCCAGCUUGACUGCGAGCGUGACGGCGCGAGCAGGUGCGAAAGCAGGUCAUAGUGAUCCGGUGGUUCUGAAUGGAAGGGCCAUCGCUCAACGGAUAAAAGGUACUCCGGGGAUAACAGGCUGAUACCGCCCAAGAGUUCAUAUCGACGGCGGUGUUUGGCACCUCGAUGUCGGCUCAUCACAUCCUGGGGCUGAAGUAGGUCCCAAGGGUAUGGCUGUUCGCCAUUUAAAGUGGUACGCGAGCUGGGUUUAGAACGUCGUGAGACAGUUCGGUCCCUAUCUGCCGUGGGCGCUGGAGAACUGAGGGGGGCUGCUCCUAGUACGAGAGGACCGGAGUGGACGCAUCACUGGUGUUCGGGUUGUCAUGCCAAUGGCACUGCCCGGUAGCUAAAUGCGGAAGAGAUAAGUGCUGAAAGCAUCUAAGCACGAAACUUGCCCCGAGAUGAGUUCUCCCUGACCCUUUAAGGGUCCUGAAGGAACGUUGAAGACGACGACGUUGAUAGGCCGGGUGUGUAAGCGCAGCGAUGCGUUGAGCUAACCGGUACUAAUGAACCGUGAGG